UUGAAAUAAACCUGAUAGGUUGCUGCUGGUUCAUUAAUGAACAUGUGCGCACUUGUCAUCUUUAUAUCUCCACCUGUGCACCUUUUGUAGACCUAGACAAUUUUCUUAAUGUUUAGCAUUAAGGUUUUUAGGAUUGACUUUUGUCUCUCCUUAUAUUUCUAGGUCUAUGUCUAUUCAUAUACCCUAAUGUAUGUUAAAGAAUGUAAUAAGUGGGUCUUUGUGCCUAUAAUACUAUA
rnacentral:misc_RNA from 1 species